CAGGCUUAACACAUGCAAGUCGAGGGGCAGCAUUUUACUUUGCUUGCAAACUGAAGAUGGCGACCGGCGCACGGGUGAGUAACACAUAUCCAACCUGCCGAUAACUCCGGAAUAGCCUUUCGAAAGAAAGAUUAAUACAGAGAUAGCAUACGAAUAUCGCAUGAUAUUUUUAUUAAAUAAUUUCAGUUAUCGAUGGGGAUGCGUUCCAUUAGUUUGUUGGCGGGGUAACGGCCCACCAAGACUACGAUGGAUAGGGGUUCUGAAAGGAAGGUCCCCCACAUUGGAACUGAGACACGGCCCACACUCCUACGGGAGGCAGCAAUGAUGAAUAUUGGUCAAUGGGCGAGAGCCUGACCCACCCAAGUAGCGUGAAGGAUGAAGGCUCUAUGGGUCGCAUACUUCUUUUAUAUGGGAAUAAAGUUUUCCACGUGUGGAAUUAUCUAUGUACCAUAUGAAUAAAGAUCCGCUAACUCCGUGCCAGCAUCCGCAGUAAUACAGAGGAUCCGAGCGUUAUCCGGAUAUAUUGAGUUCAAAGGGAGCGUAGGUGGAUUGUUAAGUCAGUUGUGAAAGUUUGCGGUUCAGCCGUAAAAUUGCAGUGAAAACUGGCAGUCUUGAGUACAGUAGAGGUGGGCGGAAUUCGUGGUGUAGCGGUGAAAUGCUUAGAUAUCACGAAGAACUCCGAUUGCGAAGGCAGCUCACUAGACUGUCACUGACACUGAUGCUCGAAAGUGUGGGUAUCAAACAGGAUUAGAUACCCUGGUAGUCCACACAGUAAACGAUGAAUACUCGCUGUUUGCGAUAUACAGUAAGCGGCCAAGCGAAAGCAUUAAGUAUUCCACCUGGGGAGUACGCCGGCAACGGUGAAACUCAAAGGAAUUGACGGGGGCCCGCACAAGCGGAGGAACAUGUGGUUUAAUUCGAUGAUACGCGAGGAACCUUACCCGGGCUUAAAUUGCAUUUGAAUAAUCUGGAAACAGGUUAGCCGCAAGGCAAAUGUGAAGGUGCUGCAUGGUUGUCGUCAGCUCGUGCCGUGAGGUGUCGGCUUAAGUGCCAUAACGAGCGCAACCCUUAUCUUUAGUUACUAACAGGUGAUGCUGAGGACUCUAGAGAGACUGCCGUCGUAAGAUGUGAGGAAGGUGGGGAUGACGUCAAAUCAGCACGGCCCUUACGUCCGGGGCUACACACGUGUUACAAUGGGGGGUACAGAAGGCAGCUACCUGGCGACAGGAUGCUAAUCCCAAAAACCUCUCUCAGUUCGGAUCGAAGUCUGCAACCCGACUUCGUGAAGCUGGAUUCGCUAGUAAUCGCGCAUCAGCCAUGGCGCGGUGAAUACGUUCCCGGGCCUUGUACACACCGCCCGUCAAGCCAUGAAAGCCGGGGGUUCCAGAGGUACGUAACCGCAAGGAGCGUCCUAGGGUAAAAC
rnacentral:rRNA from 1 species